rnacentral:lncRNA from 11 species
CAAUCACAGGCGACCUACCCACACCUGUGAGAUGUGCUACUGAAACACUGUUGCAUCUGCAACUGUCGGAACACUGUGGUUCAAAGCAGCCAGUCCUAGCCUUGCAGAGCAACUAGAAGCAAACAUCCAAGCCACCUUUAUGGCUGAUUUCUCUGGUUGAAGUACUUGAUUGUACUUUGUUUAACAAAGCAACCAAACCAUUCCAUGCUGGAAAAUGCCUCCAUGGAUAGUUAAUGACCAAGGGAAGGAAGACACCCAAGCAGCAUUAGAAGACAUCUUUCUCCAGCAUCUCCAGAGUGCUCGUGUGUAUACUGUAUACAAAGCAGAAAUCCUUCUUCAAGAAGAGCUUUCGAAACAGUUUUCAACCAGAUUGAGCCUGGCAAGUAUCAUAUGGUUUACUGCACCCGCUAACUACAGUUUCCCUCACUGGUUGUCCUGUCAUUCAUUCUGAAGAGCAGGUGCAUUAGUACUGGGGAAACGUGGUUCAGGCAUCUAUAAAUAGCUGGAUUUGCUGGGCAUAAUUGCUAUUUUGUAAAUGUCUGUGGAAAUAAAAUAUGGUAUUUCCCUUAAACAGCUGAA